UGGGGAAUAUUGGACAAUGGGCGAAAGCCUGAUCCAGCCAUGCCGCGUGAGUGACGAAGGCCUUAGGGUUGUAAAACUCUUUCGUCGGGGACGAUAAUGACGGUACCCGAAGAAGAAGCUCCGGCUAACUUCGUGCCAGCAGCCGCGGUAAUACGAAGGGAGCUAGCGUUGUUCGGAAUCACUGGGCGUAAAGCGCACGUAGGCGGAUAGUUAAGUCAGGGGUGAAAUCCUGGGGCUCAACCCCAGAACUGCCUUUGAUACUGGCUGUCUCGAGGUUGAGAGAGGUUGGUGGAAUUCCUAGUGUAGAGGUGAAAUUCGUAGAUAUUAGGAAGAACACCAGUGGCGAAGGCGGCCAACUGGCUCGAUACUGACGCUGAGGUGCGAAAGCGUGGGGAGCAAACAGGAUUAGAUACCCCCGUAGUCCCUGAGCGGGCUGGCAAGGCGCAU
rnacentral:rRNA from 1 species